rnacentral:sRNA from 12 species
UUCCCGUAGUCGGAUUGAACGGAGUCCGGUGGCGAUAACCGGGCGGGAG